rnacentral:rRNA from 1 species
CGGUUCGCGCUUCCGCCGGCGACCGGCGCACAGGUGAGUAACACGUAUGGAACCUGCCCGCAGCAGGGGGAUAAUCGGGGGAAACCCCGUCUAAUACCGCGUAACGACCCGGAGGGGCAUCCCUUCGGGUCCAAAGGUUUACCGGCUGCGGAUGGCCAUGCGUCGCAUUAGCUUGUUGGCGGGGUAACGGCCCACCAAGGCGACGAUGCGUAGGGGUUCUGAGAGGAAGGUCCCCCACACUGGUACUGAGACACGGACCAGACUCCUACGGAAGGCAGCAG